rnacentral:rRNA from 1 species
CCUUUGACGUUAGCGGCGGACGGGUGAGUAACACGUGGGUAACCUACCUAUAAGACUGGGAUAACUUCGGGAAACCGGAGCUAAUACCGGAUAAUAUUUCGAACCGCAUGGUUCGAUAGUGAAAGAUGGUUUUGCUAUCACUUAUAGAUGGACCCGCGCCGUAUUAGCUAGUUGGUAAGGUAACGGCUUACCAAGGCGACGAUACGUAGCCGACCUGAGAGGGUGAUCGGCCACACUGGAACUGAGACACGGUCCAGACUCCUACGGGAGGCAGCAGGC